rnacentral:lncRNA from 1 species
GCUACCGGCUUUAACAAUGUAAUUGGCUUUUUUUUUUAAGAUAAGUUAACAAUGUAAUUGUUGAUGAAAAUAACACGUGACCAAAGUCAGAUAACAUUCAUUGAAUUGGGGCAAUCACGCUGUCACUACCGUCAAAAGGCCCCACCUAUUAAUUGAAAAUAAAAAGAAAAAACUUCAAAUACUGUUAUUGUAGUUUCAUUCUUUCUCACUUUAGUAUCCUGUGGUUUAAAGUUUAUCAAAUUAGUACCCUAUAGUUUUGCACUUUCUCACUUUAGUAUCCUAUGGUCUAAAGUGUAUCAAGUUAGUAUCCUGUGGUUUUGCACUUUCUCAUUUUAGUACCCUGUGAUUUCGCACUGUCUCACUUUAGUAUCCCUGUGGUUUAAAAAUCAUAAGUUACUAACUUGAUACAAAAAUAAAACCAAAGGGUACUAUCUUGAUACAAAAAUAAAACCACAGAGUACUAACUUAAUAAACUUUAAACCACAGGGUACUAAAAUGAGAAUGUGCGAAACCACAGGAUAGUAAUUUGAUACACUUUAAACCACAUGGUACUAAAAUAAAAAAGUAUGAAACCACAGGGGUUUUUUGGAGUUUUCCCUAAUAANCAAAAAUAAAACCAAAGGGUACUAUCUUGAUACAAAAAUAAAACCACAGAGUACUAACUUAAUAAACUUUAAACCACAGGGUACUAAAAUGAGAAUGUGCGAAACCACAGGAUAGUAAUUUGAUACACUUUAAACCACAUGGUACUAAAAUAAAAAAGUAUGAAACCACAGGGGUUUUUUGGAGUUUUCCCUAAUAAAAAUAAUAA